UGUGUGUGUGUGUGUGUGUGUGUGUGUGUGUGUGUAUUCUCUCAUCAGGUAACUUCAGAUGCACUGACUAUAUCAUAGUAUUUAAGUAUUAUUUACUUUGCACCAUGGUCUUUAAAUUAUGGAACAACACACACACACACACACACACACACACACA
rnacentral:pre_miRNA from 1 species